GGUGAAUGUGUAUCUGGUGCAUGUGUAUCAAUUUCCAUGACUAGAUCCACACUCAUCCA
rnacentral:pre_miRNA from 1 species